rnacentral:rRNA from 1 species
GACGAACGCUGGCGGCGUGCCUAAUACAUGCAAGUAGAACGCUGAAGGAGGAGCUUGCUUCUCCGGAUGAGUUGCGAACGGGUGAGUAACGCGUAGGUAACCUGCCUGGUAGCGGGGGAUAACUAUUGGAAACGAUAGCUAAUACCGCAUAAGAGUAGAUGUUGCAUGACAUUUGCUUAAAAGGUGCAAUUGCAUCACUACCAGAUGGACCUGCGUUGUAUUAGCUAGUUGGUGGGGUAACGGCUCACCAAGGCGACGAUACAUAGCCGACCUGAGAGGGUGAUCGGCCACACUGGGACUGAGACACGGCCCAGACUCCUACGGGAGGCAGCAGUAGGGAAUCUUCGGCAAUGGACGGAAGUCUGACCGAGCAACGCCGCGUGAGUGAAGAAGGUUUUCGGAUCGUAAAGCUCUGUUGUAAGAGAAGAACGAGUGUGAGAGUGGAAAGUUCACACUGUGACGGUAUCUUACCAGAAAGGGACG